rnacentral:rRNA from 1 species
GACGUAGGGUGCGAGCGUUGUCCGGAUUUAUUGGGCGUAAAGAGCUCGUAGGCGGCUCGUCGCGUCAGCUGUGAAAACCCGCGGCUUAACCGUGGGCUUGCAGCUGAUACGGGCGGGCUAGAGUUCGGUAGGGGAGACUGGAAUUCCUGGUGUAGCGGUGAAAUGCGUAGAGAUCAGGAAGAACACCGGUGGCGAAAGCGCUCUGCUGGACCUAAACUGACACUGAGGGACGAAAGCUAGGGGAGCGAAUGGG